rnacentral:rRNA from 1 species
UACGGAGGGUGCAAGCGUUUAUCCGGAUUUACUGGGUUUAAAGGGUGCGUAGGUGGGCAGGUAAGUCAGUGGUGAAAUCUCCGAGCUUAACUCGGAAACUGCCAUUGAUACUAUCUGUCUUGAAUAUCCUGGAGGUGAGCGGAAUAUGUCAUGUAGCGGUGAAAUGCUUAGAUAUGACAUAGAACACCAAUUGCGAAGGCAGCUCACUACGGGAUAAUUGACGCUGAGGCACGAAAGCGUGGGGAUCAAACAGG